UACGGAGGAUCCAAGCGUCAUCCGGAAUCAUUGGGUUUAAAGGGUCCGUAGGCGGUUUUGUAAGUCAGUGGUGAAAUCUGGUCGCUCAACGAUCAAACGGCCAUUGAUACUGCAGAACUUGAAUUAUUGUGAAGUAACUAGAAUAUGUAGUGUAGCGGUGAAAUGCUUAGAUAUUACAUGGAAUACCGAUUGCGAAGGCAGGUUACUAACAAUAUAUUGACGCUGAUGGACGAAAGCGUGGGGAGCGAACAGG
rnacentral:rRNA from 1 species